AAAGAAGUGGUUUAGUGGCAAGAGCAUGAGACUAGUAGUCAGAAGACCUGGGUUUGAAUCCCAGCUCUGUUG
rnacentral:tRNA from 1 species